AUGGAGGCGUUCCAGGAGUGGAUGCUCAAGGAGUUCGCCGAGCUGCGGGCGGCCCAGAGCAAAUGGGAGGCGGUGGACGGCAUCUGUGCGCAACUAGACGCCCUCGACGCGAAGAUCUCCGAGCAGUCAGCGCGGUUGGAUCAGGUUCAGGUCAAGGUCGACCUCUCCUGCGACACACUGGGGCAAGUACAGCAGAUGCACUUCCAUGCGGUUCAGUCGGGGAAGCUGCACACGUUGGGCGAGAGCUCGUCGCCAACGGCAUCCGAGGUGUCAGAUGGCAUACUGGGGGCUGGCCCUGGUGGCGCAACUCGUGCUCCACCGCGUCCUGUUUAG
rnacentral:rRNA from 1 species